rnacentral:rRNA from 1 species
GAUGAACGCUGGCGGCGUGCCUAAUACAUGCAAGUCGAGCGAACAGAUAAGGAGCUUGCUCCUUUGACGUUAGCGGCGGACGGGUGAGUAACACGUGGGUAACUUACCUAUAAGACUGGAAUAACUCCGGGAAACCGGGGCUAAUGCCGGAUAACAUGUUGAACCGCAUGGUUCUACAGUGAAAGGCGGCUUUGCUGUCACUUAUAGAUGGACCCGCGCCGUAUUAGCUAGUUGGUGAGGUGACGGCUCACCAAGGCAACGAUACGUAGCCGACCUGAGAGGGGGAUCGGCCACACUGGAACUGAGACACGGUCCAGACUCCUACGGGAGGCAGCAGUAGGGAAUCUUCCGCAAUGGGCGAAAGCCUGACGGAGCAACGCCGCGUGAGUGAUGAAGGUCUUCGGAUCGUAAAACUCUGUUAUUAGGGAAGAACAAAUGCGUAAGUAACUGUGCGCGUCUUGACGGUACCUAAUCAGAAAGCCACGGCUAACUACGUG